rnacentral:sRNA from 1 species
AAAUGAAGUCUGCUCAAGGUGUAGUGAGAAGUGAAGUCUGCUCAAGGUGUAGUGAGAAAUGGAGUCUGCUCAAGGUGUAGUGAGAAAUGAAGUCUGCUCAAGGUGUAGUGAGAAAUGGAGUCUGCUCAAGGUGUAGUGAGAAGUGAAGUCUGCUCAAGGUGUAG